rnacentral:rRNA from 1 species
UACGUAGGGUGCAAGCGUUGUCCGGAAUUAUUGGGCGUAAAGAGCUCGUAGGCGGUCUGUCGCGUCUGCUGUGAAAACUCGGGGCUUAACCCCGGGCCUGCAGUGGGUACGGGCAGACUAGAGUGCGGUAGGGGAGACUGGAAUUCCUGGUGUAGCGGUGAAAUGCGCAGAUAUCAGGAGGAACACCGGUGGCGAAGGCGGAUCUCUGGGCCUUACCUGACGCUGAGGAGCGAAAGCCAGGGGAGCAAACGGG